UACGGAGGGUGCAAGCGUUAUCCGGAUUCACUGGGCUUAAAGGGUGCGUAGGUGGUUUUGUAAGUCAGUGGUGAAAGCCCGGAGCUCAACUCCGGAACUGCCAUUGAUACUGCUUAACUUGAAUCAACUUGAGGUGGAUGGAAUAUUACAUGUAGCGGUGAAAUGCUUAGAUAUGUAAUAGAACACCAAUUGCGAAGGCAGCUUACUACACAGUUAUUGACACUGAGGCACGAAAGCGUGGGGAGCAAACAGG
rnacentral:rRNA from 1 species